CAACCCUCAAGCAAUAGCUUGGUUUUGGAUGCUACUACAGUGGUGCAUCUUAAAGAUAUUGGCAAGGGCAUUCAGCUUCCAGUGCAGUAAUAAUUUCUCACUUAGGAGUUUUGAAUGUCUUGAUGGCCUAGAACCCUAAAUUUAUCAAA
rnacentral:misc_RNA from 1 species